AUUUCUCUUACACUCCCUUCCUUGACCACGAGCGCAGGACAUCGCGGUUAAGUUCCCUCGCUCCUGCAGGAGAGCCCCGCCCUUGAGAAGAAUGCACGGAGGCGCAGUUGGCAGGUUUCGGCAGCCAAAGAACACGACCUGAAAAGCAUGUCGACCCCGGCCUAACCAAGCCAUCGGAGGAGCCGAAAGGUUAUCAUUCCCCGGCCGCACGAGACCAUAGGCAAUCACUUUCCCUUCAUCGUGACAGGCAGGGACGGGAAUCCUGUCCAACACUCCUCGUCUGCUAUGAUUCUCAUGGGUUCUGAAGAACUGACCAUGGUGGGGAUCCUUGAGCCAGGGACCCUAAGCUCGUGGGAACCCUUAGGGGAACGCGUCAUGUUCUACUGGUGUCUGCUGGUGCUGUCGGCCCAACUGCAUGCCAUUUUCUUCGUCCUCACGCAGUCAGUGAGGGUCGAGACACUGCUGUGAUGGGGAACCGCCUUGCCUUUCCCCUGUCUUUCAUAAUUAAUAUAUAUUCCCCAAAUAAGUACUUUUUGCCUACUGGAUUUUGUGUAUAUUACUUUAAUUGACAUGUAUGAAUAAAAUUAAUUACGAUUUUUUUUCA